rnacentral:pre_miRNA from 1 species
AGAGGAACUGCUGGGUCACAUGGUAAUUCUGUAUUUAGCUUUUUGAGGAACUGCUGAACUGUUUUCCACAGCAGCAGUACCAUUUUGUAUUCCCACCAGCAGU